GGUGGCUUCUGGGGUGCUCUGCAGUGGAGGCCUGUGCUGUCCACGUGUAAUGUCAGCCCGGUGAGGCGAGGACAGGUCACGGCAGCUCAGCCAGGGAUGCUGUGUCCGUACGCCGACCUGCGCUGGGGCUCCCUUGAGCUGGCUGUCCCACCGCCUCAUUCCCGGGGCACCCACGUGGGAAAGCUCUGAGACGUGUCCCAGGGUGGGCUUGGGGGACCCCUUUCUCCAUGCUGUGCAUCUGGGGGCCGCCAGACUCAGGAGCAGAGGCCGCCCCUCCUAUGCGAUCAUGGGACCCCUUCCCCCGGGGGCUGGAUGCAAGCAGGUGUGCCCGGGAGCUGUGUUCAGCUGCCGCCCCAUCCUCUCCUCUCCCUAGUACACGCUGUGGGCAGCCGUCUGGGUCACCUGGAACGUCUUCAUCAUCUGCUUCUACCUGGAAGUCGGUGGCCUCUUAAAGGACAGCGAGCUACUGACCUUCAGCCUCUCCCGGCAUCGCUCCUGGUGGCGUGAGCGCUGGCCAGGCUGUCUGCAUGAGGAGGUGCCAGCAGUGGGCCUCGGGGCCCCCCAUGGCCAGGCCCUGGUGUCAGGUGCUGGCUGUGCCCUGGAGCCCAGCUAUGUGGAGGCCCUACACAGUUGCCUGCAGAUCCUGAUCGCGCUUCUGGGCUUUGUCUGUGGCUGCCAGGUGGUCAGCGUGUUUACGGAGGAAGAGGACAGCUUUGAUUUCAUUGGUGGAUUUGAUCCAUUUCCUCUCUACCAUGUCAAUGAAAAGCCAUCCAGUCUCUUGUCCAAGCAGGUGUACUUGCCUGCGUAAGUGAGGAAACAGCUGAUCCUGCUCCUGUGGCCUCCAGCCUCAGCGACCGACCAGUGACAAUGACAGGAGCUCCCAGGCCUUGGGACGCGCCCCCACCCAGCACCCCCCAGGCGGCCGGCAGCACCUGCCCUGGGUUCUAAGUACUGGACACCAGCCAGGGCGGCAGGGCAGUGCCACGGCUGGCUGCAGCGUCAAGAGAGUUUGUAAUUUCC
rnacentral:lncRNA from 1 species